UACGUAGGGUCCAAGCGUUAUCCGGAAUCACUGGGCGUAAAGCGUGCGUAGGCGGCGUGUUAAGUGUGAUGUUAAAUCGUGUGGCUCAACCAUAUCGAUGCAUCACAUACUGGCAUGCUAGAGGAAGGCAGAGGCAAGUGGAAUUUGUAAUGUAGCAGUGAAAUGCGUAGAUAUUACAAGGAACACCAAUGGCGAAGGCAGCUUGCUGGGCCUUUUCUGACGCUGAGGUACGAAAGCGUGGGGAGCGAACAGG
rnacentral:rRNA from 1 species